AUGGGGAUUGAUUCCCUUUUGGAGCGAUGAACUACAGUUUUUGGCACUUCCGCAUGGCUUCAUUUUUCAGCACCAGAGGUUGCUUCUUGCAUAGGAAUCCAAAUUAUUAGA